AGAGAGUGCAAGCGUUAAUCGGAAUAACUGGGCGUAAAGCGCACGUAGGUGGAUAUUUAAGUCGGAUGUGAAAGCCCUAGGCUUAACCUAGGAACUGCAUCCGAUACCGGGUAUCUAGAGUAUAGUAGAGGGAAGUGGAAUUUCCGGUGUAGCGGUGAAAUGCGUAGAUAUCGGAAGGAACACCAGUGGCGAAGGCGGCUUCCUGGACUAAUACUGACACUGAGGUGCGAAAGCGUGGGGAGCAAACAGGGAUUAGAGACCCUGGUAGUCCACGCCGUCAACGAUGAGAACUAGACGUUGGGAGGGUAACCUCUUAGUGCGAAGCUAACGCGUUAAGUUCUCCGCCUGGGGGAGUACGGCCGCAAGGUUA
rnacentral:rRNA from 1 species